AAGAUCAUACUUCACAGGAUCAUUUCUGUAGUGUGCAUCGUCCCCUCCAGGUGCAAAUCUGGAGUUGUCAUCAGCCACGAUGAUGAGAUUUGUCCGAUUACCAGAGCGUGAGGCCUGCUAAUGUUCAUCAACUGUCAUCAGUGAUAAUCAUUUAGCGACGAUGAUCGCGACCAGCUUUGCUGGGAAGGUACUCGGUCAGUCUGAGUGGU